UUCUAAGGGCGUUGAAGCAUGAUCGCAAGGACAUGUGGAGCGCUUAGAAGUGAGAAUGCCGGUGUGAGUAGCGAAAGACGGGUGAGAAUCCCGUCCACCGAUUGACUAAGGUUUCCAGAGGAAGGCUCGUCCGCUCUGGGUUAGUCGGGUCCUAAGCUGAGGCCGACAGGCGUAGGCGAUGGAUAACAGGUUGAUAUUCCUGUACCACCAUUAUUCGUUUUAAGCGAUGGGGGGACGCAGUAGGAUAGGCGAAGCGUGCUGUUGGAGUGCACGUCCAAGCAGUGAGAUUGAGUGUUAGGCAAAUCCGGCACUCUUAAGAUUGAGCUGUGAUGGGGAGAGGAACUUGUUCCUCGAGUCGUUGAUUUCACACUGCCGAGAAAAGCCUCUAGCUAGAAUAACGGUGCCCGUACCGCAAACCGACACAGGUAGUCAAGAUGAGAAUUCUAAGGUGAGCGAGCGAACUCUCGUUAAGGAACUCGGCAAAAUGACCCCGUAACUUCGGGAGAAGGGGUGCUCUUUGAGGUUCACGCUUCGAAGAGCCGCAGUGAAUAGGCCCAAGCGACUGUUUAUCAAAAACACAGGUCUCUGCUAAACCGUAAGGUGACGUAUAGGGGCUGACGCCUGCCCGGUGCUGGAAGGUUAAGAGGAGUGGUUAGCGCAAGCGAAGCUACGAAUCGAAGCCCCAGUAAACGGCGGCCGUAACUAUAACGGUCCUAAGGUAGCGAAAUUCCUUGUCGGGUAAGUUCCGACCCGCACGAAAGGCGUAACGAUUUGGGCACUGUCUCAACGAGAGACUCGGUGAAAUCAUAGUACCGGUGAAGAUGCCGGUUACCCGCGACAGGACGGAAAGACCCCGUGGAGCUUUACUGUAGCCUGAUAUUGAAAUUCGGUACAGUUUGUACAGGAUAGGUAGGAGCCUUAGAAGCGUGAGCGCUAGCUUACGUGGAGGCAUUGGUGGGAUACUACCCUAAUUGUAUUGGAUUUCUAACCCGCAGCACUUAUCGUGCUGGGAGACAGUGUCAGGCGGGCAGUUUGACUGGGGCGGUCGCCUCCUAAAGAGUAACGGAGGCGCUCAAAGGUUCCCUCAGAAUGGUUGGAAAUCAUUCAUAGAGUGUAAAGGCAUAAGGGAGCUUGACUGCGAGACCUACAAGUCGAGCAGGGUCGAAAGACGGACUUAGUGAUCCGGUGGUUCCGCAUGGAAGGGCCAUCGCUCAACGGAUAAAAGCUACCCCGGGGAUAACAGGCUUAUCUCCCCCAAGAGUUCACAUCGACGGGGAGGUUUGGCACCUCGAUGUCGGCUCAUCGCAUCCUGGGGCUGUAGUCGGUCCCAAGGGUUGGGCUGUUCGCCCAUUAAAGCGGUACGCGAGCUGGGUUCAGAACGUCGUGAGACAGUUCGGUCCCUAUCCGUCGUGGGCGUAGGAAAUUUGAGAGGAGCUGUCCUUAGUACGAGAGGACC
rnacentral:rRNA from 1 species